rnacentral:lncRNA from 1 species
CCUUCCCAGCACCGAAAGACUGAAAAAGAAAGUAGCGGCUGAGACACACCACGGCGAGGUCACUCUGGACACAGUCCCCUGCCCCCUCGUGGCUCGCCCUUCCCCGCAGGUGUUGAUGGCCUGGUAUGGCUCCCGCGGCGACUCUCUGCUUUUUGCCUAAAGUCUAGGGCAACCAAAGAGCAGGAAAACUGCAUGAAACCUACUCGUGGAAAACCAGCUCGAUGCUGAGUCCCACCCACCGCGACCAGACUAGGGCAGGGGCAUUGAGCUUUCCAGCCGCCUAGUUGCCUUCUCAGCAGUUUCUGUGUGGAGAAAGAGACCAGGGGACAGAGACACUGGAAAAGAAAGGAAAAGGAGGGAGGGGACUCAAGGGAAAUUUAGCCGAUUUAAUUUUUUUUUUUUUUUUUUUUUUUUNNNNNNNNNNNNNNNNNNNNNNNNNNNNNAAAAAAAAAAAAAAAAAAAAAAAAAAAAAAAAAAAAAAAGAAACUCCGACAUUCCUGCUGGGAAAUUGAUGUCUGCAUGGAUGGUUUUCUUGUCCCGGUUUUCGGGUUAAAACCAAUCUACUCCUUUUGCAAAUGCAAUGCUAUGGUUGCAGAUCAUUUUCAUCUCUCCAGUAAGGUCCUGCUUCUGCUUGCUUCAGAACUUUUGGUUCUGUUUUUUGGAUGGUGUUUGUUUGUCAGUGUUAAAGAGAAGGCUGGGCAGAAUAAGACCUAUCCCCCCUCCCCUGGCCCAAAGAUGUCCUUGUUCUUACCCCUGAAAUCGGUGAGUAGGUUAUGUUACAUGGCACGUGGCAUUGGGGAAUUAAGGUUGCAGGAAGUAUUAGGAUUGUAACCACCUGACCUUGAGAUGAGACAGUUAUCCCAGAUUACCUGUGUGGGCGCAGUGUAAUCACAAGGGUCCUCGUAAAGGAAAAGAUGGAGGCAAGAGAGUUGGAGAGACUCAGGGUGAUGCGGUGUAAGAAAGACCUGAGGAGCAAUUGCUGGCUUUGAAGAUGGAAGAAGAUUAGCAGCCAAGGGAUUAGUAGCCAAGAUUAGUGCAGCUCUGUACAAGGAUGAGGCUAGAAAGCCUGUUCUCCCUGAGAUCCUCCAAGAAAGAAGCAGUUAUAUGAACACUUUGAUUCUAGCCCAGUGAGACUCACCUCAGACUUCAC